AGAGUUUGAUCAUGGCUCAGAUUGAACGCUGGCGGCAGGCCUAACACAUGCAAGUCGAACGGUAACAGAAAGCAGCUUGCUGCUUUGCUGACGAGUGGCGGACGGGUGAGUAAUGUCUGGGAAACUGCCUGAUGGAGGGGGAUAACUACUGGAAACGGUAGCUAAUACCGCAUAACGUCGCAAGACCAAAGAGGGGGACCUUCGGGCCUCUUGCCAUCGGAUGUGCCCAGAUGGGAUUAGCUUGUUGGUGGGGUAACGGCUCACCAAGGCGACGAUCCCUAGCUGGUCUGAGAGGAUGACCAGCCACACUGGAACUGAGACACGGUCCAGACUCCUACGGGAGGCAGCAGUGGGGAAUAUUGCACAAUGGGCGCAAGCCUGAUGCAGCCAUGCCGCGUGUAUGAAGAAGGCCUUCGGGUUGUAAAGUACUUUCAGCGGGGAGGAAGGGAGUAAAGUUAAUACCUUUACUCAUUGACGUUACCCGCAGAAGAAGCACCGGCUAACUCCGUGCCAGCAGCCGCGGUAAUACGGAGGGUGCAAGCGUUAAUCGGAAUUACUGGGCGUAAAGCGCACGCAGGCGGUUUGUUAAGUCAGAUGUGAAAUCCCCGGGCUCAACCUGGGAACUGCAUCUGAUACUGGCAAGCUUGAGUCUCGUAGAGGGGGGUAGAAUUCCAGGUGUAGCGGUGAAAUGCGUAGAGAUCUGGAGGAAUACCGGUGGCGAAGGCGGCCCCCUGGACGAAGACUGACGCUCAGGUGCGAAAGCGUGGGGAGCAAACAGGAUUAGAUACCCUGGUAGUCCACGCCGUAAACGAUGUCGACUUGGAGGUUGUGCCCUUGAGGCGUGGCUUCCGGAGCUAACGCGUUAAGUCGACCGCCUGGGGAGUACGGCCGCAAGGUUAAAACUCAAAUGAAUUGACGGGGGCCCGCACAAGCGGUGGAGCAUGUGGUUUAAUUCGAUGCAACGCGAAGAACCUUACCUGGUCUUGACAUCCACGGAAGUUUUCAGAGAUGAGAAUGUGCCUUCGGGAACCGUGAGACAGGUGCUGCAUGGCUGUCGUCAGCUCGUGUUGUGAAAUGUUGGGUUAAGUCCCGCAACGAGCGCAACCCUUAUCCUUUGUUGCCAGCGGUCCGGCCGGGAACUCAAAGGAGACUGCCAGUGAUAAACUGGAGGAAGGUGGGGAUGACGUCAAGUCAUCAUGGCCCUUACGACCAGGGCUACACACGUGCUACAAUGGCGCAUACAAAGAGAAGCGACCUCGCGAGAGCAAGCGGACCUCAUAAAGUGCGUCGUAGUCCGGAUUGGAGUCUGCAACUCGACUCCAUGAAGUCGGAAUCGCUAGUAAUCGUGGAUCAGAAUGCCACGGUGAAUACGUUCCCGGGCCUUGUACACACCGCCCGUCACACCAUGGGAGUGGGUUGCAAAAGAAGUAGGUAGCUUAACCUUCGGGAGGGCGCUUACCACUUUGUGAUUCAUGACUGGGGUGAAGUCGUAACAAGGUAACCGUAGGGGAACCUGCGGUUGGAUCACCU
rnacentral:rRNA from 1 species